GACGAACGCUGGCGGCGUGCUUAACACAUGCAAGUCGAACGGAAAGGCCUCUUUCGGGGGGUACUCGAGUGGCGAACGGGUGAGUAACACGUGAGUAACCUGCCCUUGACUUUGGGAUAACUUCAGGAAACUGGGGCUAAUACCGGAUAGGAGCUCCUGCUGCAUGGUGGGGGUUGGAAAGUUUCGGCGGUUGGGGAUGGACUCGCGGCUUAUCAGCUUGUUGGUGGGGUAGUGGCUUACCAAGGCUUUGACGGGUAGCCGGCCUGAGAGGGUGACCGGCCACAUUGGGACUGAGAUACGGCCCAGACUCCUACGGGAGGCAGCAGUGGGGAAUAUUGCACAAUGGGUGGAAGCCUGAUGCAGCAACGCCGUGUGCGGGAUGACGGCCUUCGGGUUGUAAACCGCUUUCGCUCAUGACGAAGCUUUGUGUGACGGUAGUGGGUAAAGAAGCACCGGCUAAGUACGUG
rnacentral:rRNA from 1 species